AGGUGGAAGGGAGAGUCAGAGAUUCAAAGCAUGAGGAAUUCGGGCCACACGAGGAGUCUAGGCAGCCUGUAGGAACAGAGAGAAGCUCCCAGUGCCCAGCCAGCCAGGAAACAGGACCUCAGAGCCAUAGCCACAGGGAACUGGAUUCUGCCAGCAAAAGAGGUAGGUUCUUCCCGAGAUCCUCCAGGCAAGAUCCCAGCCCAGUGGACACCUUGAUUUCGGCCUUGUGGGACCCUGAGCAGAAAACCCAGGUUUAAAGAGGCAAUGUUCCCAAAAGAAAUGGCAAAGAAAGGAGUUCCUUUCACAGUCAGCAGACCUGUGUUCCCAGCUGGAUGCAGCUGGAUCCAUGAAUGACAAGGAAGAUAAGAGCUGCCCCACAAAGCUGAACACCUGUUCAAGACUACUAGAUACUCAGCUCUGCUGUUGUGGUACAGAAGCAUGAUGAAUAUAUAAACAACCCUCACGCUAGAAAACUCGCAGAAAAAGGAGCAAGCGGACCGGCUUUUUUCAACUCCCCGCGGAAGUACUCUCACCGGAACUCCUCCGUGUUUGCGCUUUCCCAUUGGCGGAAGCUUCUGCCAGCUUCCAGUAGCUUCCGCCCACGACUCGGUUGGGCGGAGCUUUCCCUGGAAGUCACUUCCGCUAACCCCGCCCCUCGUUCCCUUUUUGGC
ensembl:lncRNA